UCCCAUGUUUGUGAUUCAGUGGGUAGAGCAUCUGCUUUACAUGCAGAGGGUCCCAGGCUCAAGCCCCAGCAUCUCUGGAUAGGGAA